GUCUGACUAUCCCACUCUGCAUGUUGCAAACUUCUCAAAAUGGGGUUGGUCUUCUGCUGCCACUGAAUCAAUCCCAAAUAUGCCCUGUCACCAAAUCCAAAAUAAAUAUGAGUGACAGAUGAAAUAAAGGUAUUUACUCAGUGAGACAUAUUGCAGAGAGGAAGCCUGAGAUAAAGACAUCCUCUUCAGCACUCAGGAGAUUCCAUUGAUUUGGGUGAAGAGGUUGCUAUUUGAAAAAAAAUGAGUAAGAACUAUAGAUGGAAACAUCCUGAAAUAACCGUGCAUGAUGCAGGUGGACUCAAAAACUUUUGGGAGAAAAAAAUUGAACACCAUGCUAAGCAAAUGGAAAAUGAAAACUCUCGAAUAAGCAGGAGUGCCCUGGAUAAGCUCCGUUGUGAAUGGAAUCGGAGACUGGAAGGGAGACUCAAGAUGCUACAGCAGCCUCAGGAAGAGCCCAAGAAAUCAUCCCUACUACCGAUUGAAUCUUUCCACCUUGUUGAUAAAACAGUAGCCUAAAGUUAUUAAUAAUAUGGUAAUAGAAAAAGCAUUGCUUCAUGGAGAGGGAGAGCCCCCUUAGGAGAUUCCUGUGAAAUAGUGAAGCCCAAGCUGAAUGUUGAGCAGGAAUUUUAAAGUGUUAAUUUAAGAUGUGUUUGUACAGGAAUAUAUUCAAUAUGGAAAUUGUGGCCAUGUUUCAUUGUUUCAUUCAGAUCACAGUAGGAUCCUUUCAUAAAAUUACUCAUCAUGUUAUAGAUUUAACUGUUCUACAGAUCAGAUUCUGUCUCCCCAAACUUAGGUACUACAACUGAAAGAUGGCCAGUAUUGGAGUCUGUGAGAGCAGAAUCCAAGUCUUCCAUCAGAUACAUCUGGUUAUGUGACCUCUUAAGGGCCCCAAGUAAUUCUCUAAGAUUAGAAAUUGCCUAUGAAUUUCAGAUUUCAGACUUUGCAUUAGUGGAGAGAGUUUCUAAAUUAGAAGUUCUCCCUAACAACAAGGGAUGAUUUACCUGUCAGAUCUAUGGAGGAAUUUAUGACCUAUCAGAUCUUUGGAGAAGGGAGGAAUUAUGAUGAGAGAA